UACGUAGGUGGCAAGCGUUGUCCGGAAUUAUUGGGCGUAAAGCGCGCGCAGGCGGCCUUUUAAGUCUGAUGUGAAAGCCCACGGCUCAACCGUGGAAGGUCAUUGGAAACUGAAAGGCUUGAGUACAGAAGAGGAAAGCGGAAUUCCACGUGUAGCGGUGAAAUGCGUAGAGAUGUGGAGGAACACCAGUGGCGAAGGCGGCAUCCUGGACCGGUAUUGACGCUGAGGCGCGAAAGCUAGGGGAGCAAACGGG
rnacentral:rRNA from 1 species